GCCUAACCUUCUGGGAAUGUAGCCCAGUAGAUCUCAGCCUUGUUUUACCCAGCCCCUAUUCAAGAUGGAGUCACUCUGGUUCAAACACCUCUGACAAAAAUCCUUCUAAAAAUUUUUAAUAUACAAAUUGAGAUCUUCUAAUAUUUUUCUAUUACUGUGGUAUAUCACUUCUUUCCCUUUGUGCACCCUACUUAAAAUUUCAACUCACUCAGAAGAUACAGGAGCUGACUGUCGCUGUGGCUGUGCUGUAUCGGAACACUGCCUACCUUAAGGAAAGAACUUUGGAGGUCUCAGGCUUUGAAUUUUAUUUCCUGUAGUUUUUUCUCUCUGAAAUCUUAUAUAGGCUUUUCCUGAGUAAGGGUCAUUUUCACUUAGCUUUUUGAUGGUAUAAUGGACUGAAUGUUUGUGUCCCCCUUCCAAGUUCAAAUGUUGAAGGCCAAACCCUCCUUGUGGCUGUACUUGGAGAUGGGGGCCUCUUAGGAAGCAAUUAAGGUUGGAUGAGGUCCUUAGGGUGGGGCCCUGAUAGGAUUAGCGUCUGUAUAAAAAGAGACACCUGAGAGCUUCGCCCUGCUAGGAUUAGCGUCUGUAUAAAGAGAGACACCUGAGAGCUUCGCCCUGCUAGGAUUAGCGUCUGUAUAAAGAGAGACACCUGAGAGCUUCGCCCUGCUAGGAUUAGCGUCUGUAUAAAGAGAGACACCUGAGAGCUUCGCCCUGCUAGGAUUAGCGUCUGUAUAAAGAGAGACACCUGAGAGCUUCGCCUACACGCUUCCCCACUGAGGGAAGACCAUGUGACUAUACAACAGGAAGGUAGUUGUUUACAAGCCAGGAAGAGAGCCCUCACCAGAAACCAAAUUGGCUGGCGCCUUGAUCAUGGACUCCUGGGCUCCGGAACUGUAAGAAAAUUUGUGUUGUGGAAGCCACCCAGCCCAUGGUAUUUCGUUAUGGCAGCCUGAGCAGAGGUGGUAGCUAUGUGGACAGUUUUUGGACUUCUCUAUUGUAACACAGGAGGCAACACAGAUUCUUCAAGUCUCACAGCUACUCCCUAGGGAUCACUGGGGAACUUGGAAAAAAUCUAUUGGCUCAGCUAGUGAGCGAUCACUUCCUGUACCACUGUUCUGAGGGCGGACUUCCAGCUCAGGAUCAUGCGAGGGCAUUUUGUUGCCCUUCAUCACUCAGCAGUGAAGAAUGAAAAUCAACAGAGCUUUCCCCAGCCUGCUGCUUAAGCAGCUGCUAGCAGGCUGAGGCUGCCCAGCCUCAUUAACCCAUUAGAUGCUGCGUUCGCCCGGGAGUCAUUCUUAAUGAGGCUGCUGCAGAUGAGAAAACAGAAGCAAAGGCAGAAAGAUGCUACAUUGCCAGCUUUGAAGAUGGAGGGAAGAGGUCACAAACCAAGGAAGGUGAGUGGUGCCUAGAAGUUGGAAAAGACAUGGAAACACAUUCUUCUGUAAAGCACUUAGAAAGAAAUACAGUCUUCCAAAAUGUUGAUCUUAGCCAGGCAAUGAGGACGUUGCACAAGACAGUCCCUGAUACCCAGAGUUUACUGCCUAAGAGAGGAUACAUCCUUCAAACCAAUAAUCUGCUAAUAGCAAGAUCCAAUAGCUUCAUGGAUAUUGAAAGAAACUGAGAAUCAAAUUUGCAUACUUCUGAGUCACUUGGAAACAAAAAACAAGUACAGUCUUAGAUUCUGAGGGAACAAAAAUUAAAAAUCACAUUAGGAAGAGAAUUCCUAAUGUAGGAACUCAUCCUGGAAGAUUCUUCAGCAAAAGUACAGACAAUAAUAAUAAUACUCCAUGAAGUUACCAUCGAUAUUGAAUGAAUUAAUGAAUGUAAAAACCUCAAAACCCUGCCUGGCCCAGAGCUUUGGAAUGGGUUUGGAUCUACCACUCAACUGCUUUAUGACUUCAGACCAGUUAUUUAAAUUCCCUGAAGCUCAGUUUCCACAUCUUUGAGUUUUUAUUAAUGACCUGCCGACAUCAUACAGUUCAUGAAAUGCUCUGGAUGUGUACAUGCUGAUGAUACGACCUCAGACCCAGCAAGAGCUCAGUGCAGCCCGGAGAGCUGUGAGCAGUGCCACAGGAGGAGAUGACUGGUGAGUGAAAUAAGCAAGAUAGGAGUUGAAGUGUACAUGAAGCAGAGUCCAAGCCUUCUCCUUCUGGAUGUUCAGCUGGAUCAUCCUGACUGCUCCCACUUUCAUCUUGGCUUUCAAAGGCAAGAGGAAAUUAUAAGGAAUAUUCUGAGUGGCUUUCAUCCAGGAGUUCUGUGGGACCCGCAACACCUGGAUGGUAGAUGCAAACAGAUAAAGAAUAUUGGUCACCAAAAGGAGUUCUUUUCAUCAUAGAUCUCUGAAGGUAGACACCUAUUUGCAGACUUCUCAAAGGGCUAUAUGGAUGUGCUCUACUUGUUGGAGGAUUGUCCAUCCACUCUUCUUCCUGUACUUACCAGGACAGAACAGCCGCAACUUCUCAGACAGUUCAUUCUUCUUUUCCUCACCUACUACCAUCUAAGAAAGGUACUUGAUGACUGUGGCUUUAGACAAGAGUCCUUUUCUUACCACAGGGUGGGCAGCACCAGCUCAUUAGAACCAUUUGUGUGACUGACUGAAGACAGCUCACCUUGGAACACUGCAGGUUGAAGAUCAUCUCUUCUUUUUUUCAUGGUGUUAAGCAUGGACCGAUGUUGUGACUCUCUUUCACCAACAGAAUAUGGCGUAAGUGACAUUUUACAAGUUCCAGAGCCUGGGACUCAAGAUGUCUUGGAGAUUCUGUCUUUGCAGUCUUAUAAUGAUGCCCUGAGAUCAUCAUUAAAGAAAGCCAGUCUGGCCUACUGAGGAUGAGAAGCUACAUAAAGGAGAAUGAAGAUUCCCCAGCCAACAGGCAAUAUCAGUGGUCAGAUAUGUGAAUAAAGCCAUGUUGAACCUCUCGGCUAGACGACCCUCCAGCAUAUGAAACCAGCAGAUGAAUAUCCCAGCCUGCCUGAAGAACUGUACAGGAAAUAAGAAAUCAUUGUUUUUUAAGCCACUGGGUUGGUGGGUGGUUUGUUACAUUGAAAUUGUUAACUAAAACAGAAAUUGGUGCAUAGAGGUCAGGUGCUGUCAUAAUAAAAAUCUAAAACAUAUACUGUUGGCUUUGGUGAUGGGAGUGAUUGGUAGCUAAAGAGGCAGUGAAACAAUGAUUAGUAGAUACUGGGAAGUUAAUAAGGAAAUUUCUAUUGGAGGGUGGAGAAAGGGCCACCCUUGUUAUAUAGUGGCCAAAGAAUCAGCAAAAUGUUGCCUGCUGCAACCUGGAAAGUAGAAACUUUUCUUAAACUCACGGAUCUGGCUGGGAGAUUUCCAGGAUGCAUGCAACAAAUGUGAAUCAACUUUGUAUAGCUGUGUAUAAUAAAGUGUGCUGUAUUUGUCCAUUCUGAUGCUGCUAAUAAAGACAUACCUGAGACUGAAU
rnacentral:lncRNA from 10 species